rnacentral:rRNA from 1 species
UACGGGGGGGGCAAGCGUUGUUCGGAAUUACUGGGCGUAAAGGGCGCGUAGGCGGCCUGUUAAGUCGAACGUGAAAUCCCCGGGCUCAACCCGGGAACUGCGUCCGAUACUGGCAGGCUUGAAUUCGGGAGAGGGAUGUGGAAUUCCAGGUGUAGCGGUGAAAUGCGUAGAUAUCUGGAGGAACACCGGUGGCGAAGGCGGCAUCCUGGACCGAUAUUGACGCUGAUGCGCGAAAGCCAGGGGAGCAAACGGG